rnacentral:rRNA from 1 species
GAGUUUGAUCCUGGCUCAGAUUGAAUGCUGACGGCGUGGAUGAGGCAUGCAAGUCGCACGAAACUCCUCGAGCUUGCUCGGAGAGUUUAGUGGCGGAAGGGUUAGUAAUACAUGGAUAACUUGCCCCUAACUUAGGAAUAACAGCUGGAAACGGCUGCUAAUACCUACUGUGGUGUACCGAGAUAACUCGAUUACAUUAAAGCAGGGGAUCGCAAGACCUUGCGGUUAGGGAGAGGUCCAUGGGAUAUCAGCUUGUUGGUGAGGUAAAAGCUCACCAAGGCUAAGACGUCUAGGCGGACUGAGAGGUUGAUCGCCAACACUGGGACUGAGACACUGCCCAGACUCCUACGGGAGGCUGCAGUCGAGAAUCUUUCGCAAUGGGCGCAAGCCUGACGAAGCGACGCCGUGUGGACGAAGAAGGCCUUCGGGUUGUAAAGUCCUUUCGCUAGGGAACAAGGGAGACAGUUUAAUAAACUGUCGACUUGAGGGUACCUGGUAAAGAAGCACCGGCUAACUACGUGCCAGCAGCUGCGGUAAUACGUAGGGUGCAAGCAUUAAUCGGAUUUAUUGGGCGUAAAGAGCGCGUAGGUGGGAAAAUAAGUCAGGCGUUAAAGCCCGAAGCUCAACUUCGGAUCAGCACCUGAAACUGUUUUUCUUGAGGAUGGACGGAGAAAGUGGAAUUCCAUGUGUAGCGGUGAAAUGCGUAGAUAUAUGGAAGAACACCCGUGGCGAAGGCGACUUUCUAGUUUAUUCCUGACACUGAGGCGCGAAAGCAGGGGGAGCGAACAGGAUUAGAUACCCUGGUAGUCCCUGCCGUAAACGAUGCAUACUUGAUGUAACCGGACUCAAUCCCGGUUGUGUCGUAGCUAACGUGUUAAGUAUGCCGCCUGGGGAGUACGCACGCAAGUGUCAAACUCAAAAGAAUUGACGGGGGCCCGCACAAGCAGUGGAGCAUGUGGUUUAAUUCGAUGCAACGCGAAGAACCUUACCUGGACUUGACAUGUAGCGGACAGGUACAGAAAUGUACCCUUCUUCGGACCGCUAUACAGGUGCUGCAUGGCUGUCGUCAGCUCGUGCCGUGAGGUGUUGGGUUAAGUCCCGCAACGAGCGCAACCCUUAUCGUCAGUUGCCAACAGUUCGGCUGGGAACUCUGACGAGACUGCCUGGGUUAACCAGGAGGAAGGUGAGGAUGACGUCAAGUCAGCAUGGCCCUUAUGUCCAGGGCUACACACGUGCUACAAUGGCAGAUACAGAGCGCAGCUAAACCGUGAGGUCACGCAAAUCGCACAAAGUCUGUCUCAGUUUGGAUUGAAGUCUGCAACUCGACUUCAUGAAGUUGGAAUUGCUAGUAAUGGCGUGUCAGCAAUAACGCCGUGAAUACGUUCCCGGGCCUUGUACACACCGCCCGUCACAUCAUGGAAGUUGGUUUUACCCGAAGCCGUUGACUCAACCGCAAGGAGAGAGGCGUCUAAGGUGAGGCUGAUGACUAGGAUGAAGUCGUAACAAGGUAACC